CGGGGUCAUGUCAUGACUCGUGGGUAUGGCGGGGGACCCCUCUCCGUCAGCAGCUGGAAGAAAAACUGCGGCUUGCUUGGAGACACCAGCUAUCCAUUAGAACCGUGGGUCCUAACACCAGUGCACGGACGACCAGCUCGUGGCACCCUUGAGAACCACUACAAGGCCCACACUGCCAUGCGCAGUGUUGUGGAGAGGUGCAUCGGGGUCCUAAAGAGCAGGUUCCAAAGUUCACAGCGUUACCGGACCCUGCUCUAAAACCCCGAUCGAACAGCCACCAUCAUUGCUGCUUGUGCAGCUCUGCACGACGUUGCGUUGGCGGCACAUGAGCCCGUUCUCGAAGGGGACGAUGACGACACCGACGAUGCUGAGCUGCUGCCAGUAGCAGCUGAGCUACCACCACCACCACAACGGGAGCCAGCAGCAGCGCAACCGUGCAGUGAACCUAUUUCGAGGACCACAGGGCCUGCAUGCUGAGCAUCUGCGCAGAGUAAGCUGCCGCCUGCAACGACCUCGGCAGCAUUGUGUGGUGGCUUCUGCUGCAAUGAGAGCCCGGGCGAGGGUACC
rnacentral:lncRNA from 1 species